rnacentral:rRNA from 1 species
UUCGCCCUUAGAGUUUGAUCCUGGCUCAGGACGAACGCUGGCGGCGUGCUUAACACAUGCAAGUCGAACGGAGGUUACGAGGAAGCUUGCGAAUUGUAACCUUAGUGGCGGACGGGUGAGUAACGCGUGGAUAACCUGCCUGACAGACCGGGACAACACCGGGAAACUGGUGCUAAUACCGGGUACGCUCAAGAGUGCCCAUGCACACUUGAGGAAAGGAGCAAUCCGCUGACAGAUGGGUCCGCGUCCCAUUAGCUAGUUGGAGGUGUAAAGGACCACCAAGGCGACGAUGGGUAGCCGGCCUGAGAGGGUGGACGGCCACACUGGAACUGAGACACGGUCCAGACUCCUACGGGAGGCAGCAGUGGGGAAUCUUCCGCAAUGGGCGAAAGCCUGACGGAGCAACGCCGCGUGAGUGAUUAAGGCCUUCGGGUUGUAAAACUCUGUCAUCAGGGAAGAAAAUAAUGACGGUACCUGAGGAGGAAGCCCCGGCUAACUACGUGCCAGCAGCCGCGGUAAAACGUAGGGGGCGAGCGUUGUCCGGAAUUACUGGGCGUAAAGGGCGCGUAGGCGGUUGUCCAAGUCAGAGGUGAAAACUCUGGGCUCAACUCAGAGCGUGCCUCUGAAACUGGGCGACUUGAGGGCAGGAGAGGGGAGUGGAACUCCCAGUGUAGCGGUGAAAUGCGUAGAUAUUGGGAGGAACACCAGUGGCGAAGGCGACUCUCUGGCCUGUUUCUGACGCUGAGGCGCGAAAGCGUGGGGAGCGAACGGGAUUAGAUACCCCGGUAGUCCACGCCGUAGACGAUGGGUA